CCUACGUGAGGCAGCAGUGGGGAAUAUUGCGCAAUGGGCGAAAGCCUGACGCAGCGACGCCGCGUGAGGGAUGAAUGUCUUCGGAUCGUAAACCUCUGUCAGCAGGGAAGAACGGUCACUGUGCUAAUCAGCAGUGAAUUGACGGUAACUGCAAAGGAAGCACCUGCUAACUCCGUGCCAGCAGCCGCGGUAAGACGGAGGGUGCGAGCGUUAAUCGGAUUUACUGGGCGUAAAGCGAUCGUAGGCGGUAUGUCAAGUCAAGUGUGAAAUCCCCGCGCUCAACGUGGGAACUGCCUUUGAAACUGGCAAACUGGAGUGUGUGAGAGGAUAGUGGAAUUCCAGGUGUAGGAGUGAAAUCCGUAGAUAUCAGGAGGAACAUCAGUGGCGAAGGCGACUAUCUGGCACAUAACUGACGCUGAGGAGCGAAAGCGUGGGUAGCAAACAGGAUUAGAUACCCUGGUAGUC
rnacentral:rRNA from 1 species